AUUGAACGCUGGCGGCAGGCCUAACACAUGACGUCGAGCGGAUGAAGGGAGCUUGCUCCUGGAUUCAGCGGCGGACGGGUGAGUAAUGCCUAGGAAUCUGCCUGGUAGUGGGGGAUAACGUCCGGAAACGGGCGCUAAUACCGCAUACGUCCUGAGGGAGAAAGUGGGGGAUCUUCGGACCUCACGCUAUCAGAUGAGCCUAGGUCGGAUUAGCUAGUUGGUGGGGUAAAGGCCUACCAAGGCGACGAUCCGUAACUGGUCUGAGAGGAUGAUCAGUCACACUGGAACUGAGACACGGUCCAGACUCCUACGGGAGGCAGCAGUGGGGAAUAUUGGACAAUGGGCGAAAGCCUGAUCCAGCCAUGCCGCGUGUGUGAAGAAGGUCUUCGGAUUGUAAAGCACUUUAAGUUGGGAGGAAGGGCAGUAAGUUAAUACCUUGCUGUUUUGACGUUACCAACAGAAUAAGCACCGGCUAACUUCGUG
rnacentral:rRNA from 1 species